CAACCGCUACGAAGUGACCACCACGCCCAUCUGAAGAAGACACCCGUUUUGGUCUAUACAUUUGAGGUAUGUGCUUCACGUUUAUUAUCUGAUUGUAGGCAGAAAUUCCUUGCACAACCACGAGUUCACCGAACUAAACUGUAGACAACACUUUGCUAAAAAGAAUAGAAGGAUUUAAAUGGUUAUUUAUUGUUUGUGUGAUUAAAAGUUGAAGAACACAGGGGAAUGAUUAGAGAAAUCAAAUAUUGUUAUAGAACUGUAAAUUAAUGGAUUGAAAUAUUCGAAAUUGAAGACAGAUGGGAUUGACAGAUUGAACUUGCUAAGUUAUGCAAUAUGCUGUGGUCUGUCGAAUUCUUCUACAUACUGUAUUUUGUUUUUAAUUUUGCAAUUUCACUUCUAUUUCUCUUGUUAUUUCUUUAGCUUGAUAGUUUUUUGUUGUAGAUAUGCCUUCAUAUUUACUGGUCCAUGAUUAAUGAUUGGAUUAAAAGAAGAAAACAUAGAGAAAUUGCUUGAACAAAUGCAUGCUUCUGUCUAAACUCGAACAAAGAGCAGAGUCGUCUUAAUGAGGUGGUUGUAACUCGUAAUCCUGGACCUGGCAAUUUAAUUACGGUGCUAAUGUUUAUGUUACUAAUUACAGUUUAUUACAUGAGUUAGGAAUUUUGUUUGCGUGGUUGUCGACCAUCUCAUCAUGGGAGGAAGGAAUGUUGGAAUAUGUCACAGUUGUCGAAGCAAGUGGCACUCAUUCUGUGAAUGCAUGAUAAAACGUCGUUGCCCAUGGUGUCCACAUGGAUUUCAGAAAUGCUUCGAGGUUGAUAAACAGACAUGUAACAAAGGGUGAUUAUUCAACACUUUUAGUAACAACUGUGGAUAUUUCAAUUGGGUGGAUGAAGGAGAAUCAAGUGAACAAUGUAGUGACGUCAACGAAGUGAUAACUGUUGCGGGGAAUGAGGAAGUUCAAGACUUGCCAAGGAUCCUCGAAACUCUAGCCCGAAUAACUGAGACACGAGACGUUGAUGUGUCACUACUGUAAGUGACAUUUCACAAGGGAAAAGGAUGCUUGGAAUCGGAUGGGAAACAAAAAGGACCGGCUUGAUUAUUAUUAUUUUAGUCAACAGGUUGUUCGGGUUAUAUAUGUAAUUUAAAGACUUGUGUAGCGCUACUAUAUAUUUUGUAUGCCAUUAGAAUUUAUGUUAAAUGCAUCUUAUGUUUCUUCA
rnacentral:lncRNA from 1 species